CUAAAAACCUUUAUUUAAAAUCCAGGAACAAAUAUUCCAACUUCCAUACAACAAAAUGACCCUGCAGAAUACCGGAAAACAGUGUCUAAGUAGUCUGAACUUUUCAGUUAAGAAUCUGUAACCUAGUUUUGGGAAAAGACCAACUCUGAGGUUGACUACCCAUGAGCACAAAGAAUGCAUUUAAAAAUAACACCCAAGUGGGACAUGGCACAAGGCUCAGCCCAUGGCAGGUAAAUGGGAUAUCCCUUAGAAUGAGGGGGCUCGCAUGUUUCAAAACCAAAUUUAUGUCUCUAAGGAAGCACAAUAUGCAUAAUGCAUUUCCUUAUAUAAGGAUCAGAAUUUAGUUGCAACUUAAAAAAAGUUUAAUAUAAUAAACCUUAAAAUCAUUUGUCUUGUAUAAUGUACACAGAGUAGAUAGGGCAUUACGGUGCUUUCUGAAGAUCACUGGGUACCACUGUCAGAGAGAGCUGUCAUGCCCUCAAGGCAUAUUAAAUGAAAACUGAAAACGUAAGUUACAUUAAAUAAAAUGGGAAAAAAAUCUGGCUUAUACUACCUUUAAAAGCAAACUACUGUCAUUACACACACACAUUAUGGGACAAAGAGCAUGCAAUACAACAAACCAGUCA
rnacentral:lncRNA from 1 species